rnacentral:rRNA from 1 species
ACGGGUGAGUAACACGUAGGUAACCUGCCUGUAAGAUCGGGAUAACUAUCGGAAACGAUAGCUAAGACCGGAUAGCUGGUUUCUCCGCAUGGAGGAAUCAUGAAACACGGAGCAAUCUGUGGCUUACAGAUGGGCCUGCGGCGCAUUAGCUAGUUGGUAGGGUAACGGCCUACCAAGGCGACGAUGCGUAGCCGACCUGAGAGGGUGAACGGCCACACUGGGGCUGAGACACGGCCCAGACUCCUACGGGAGGCAGCAGUAGGGAAUCUUCCGCAAUGGACGCAAGUCUGACGGAGCAACGCCGCGUGAGUGAUGAAGGUUUUCGGAUCGUAAAGCUCUGUUGCCCUAGACAAACAGCAUGAGGAGUAACUGCCUUGUGUGUGACGGUAUAGGAGAAGAAAGCCCCGGCUAACUACGUGCCAGCAGCCGCGGUAAUACGUAGGGGGCAAGCGUUGUCCGGAAUUAUUGGGCGUAAAGCGCGCGCAGGCGGUUCAUUAAGUUGGGUGUUUAAGCCCGGGGCUCAACCCCGGUUCGCAUCCGAAACUGGUGAACUUGAGUGUAGGAGAGGAAAGUGGAAUUC